rnacentral:rRNA from 1 species
UACGUAGGGUGCAAGCGUUGUCCGGAAUUAUUGGGCGUAAGGAGCUCGUAGGCGGUCUGUCACGUCGGACGUGAAAAUCCAGGGCUCAACCCUGGACCUGCGUUCGAUACGGGCAGACUAGAGUUCGGUAGGGGAGACUGGAAUUUACGGUGUAGCGGUGAAAUGCGUAGAUAUCGUAAGGAAGACCAGUGGCGAAGGCGGGUCUCUGGACAGUUCCUGACGCUGAGGCACGAAGGCCAGGGGAGCAAACGGG